GAACGAAGGAAGCAUGGUAAUGUGCACAUAAGUUGAUUUAGGUUUCUAGAAUGUCCUCCCUGAUGCCUUUCCGCUUUGUUUUGGGACAUGGUUCCGCAACAAAAUG